CGAAAAUAUUGAGCUUUGGAGCACGUUGAGUUUCUUCAUCUUCUCCGUUGAGAGCCAUCUUUUGAGGUACAGGUAGCAUGCCACCUCUAAGGACAUAGCUUGGGAGGCUAGAGGCAGACAUACUUUGGCUGUCUUAUUUUCCUUGAUUGUAUUACAUAUAGUUUCAAGCCAAGGGCUUAAGGUGUAAUUGAGUUAGCACUCUCUUUUGUAACCAAGUGUUAACUUGGAAAGCUGUAAGCCCGUAGGGCAUUUGCUUUUGUGUUGUAAAUAUGUAACACUGUUGUAAAGAAAUACCCUGAUGAAUAGAUGAAUGUGGACCUUUAUGUAUCAA